rnacentral:rRNA from 1 species
AUUGAACGCUGGCGGAAUGCUUUACACAUGCAAGUCGAACGGCAGCACGGGGGCAACCCUGGUGGCGAGUGGCGAACGGGUGAGUAAUACAUCGGAACGUGCCCAGUCGUGGGGGAUAACGUAGCGAAAGCUACGCUAAUACCGCAUACGAUCUACGGAUGAAAGCGGGGGAUCGCAAGACCUCGCGCGAUUGGAGCGGCCGAUGGCAGAUUAGGUAGUUGGCGGGGUAAAGGCUCACCAAGCCUUCGAUCUGUAGCUGGUCUGAGAGGACGACCAGCCACACUGGGACUGAGACACGGCCCAGACUCCUACGGGAGGCAGCAGUGGGGAAUUUUGGACAAUGGGCGAAAGCCUGAUCCAGCCAUUCCGCGUGCAGGAUGAAGGCCCUCGGGUUGUAAACUGCUUUUGUACGGAACGAAACGGCCUUUUCUAAUACAGAGGGCUAAUGACGGUACCGUAAGAAUAAGCACCGGCUAACUACGUGCCAGCAGCCGCGGU